UAGGGAAUCUUCGGCAAUGGGGGGAACCCUGACCGAGCAACGCCGCGUGAGUGAAGAAGGUUUUCGGAUCUUAAAGCUCUGUUGUUAAGGAAGAACGAGUGUGAGAAUGGAAAGUUCAUGCUGUGACGGUACUUAACCAGAAAGGGACGGCUAACUACGUGCCAGCAGCCGCGGUAAUACGUAGGUGGCAAGCGUUGUCCGGAAUUAUUGGGCGUAAAGCGCGCGCAGGUGGUUUAGAAAGUCUGAUGUGAAAGCCCACGGCUCAACCGUGGAAGGUCAUUGGAAACUAAUAAGCUUGAGUGCAGGGGAGAAAAGUGAAAUUCCUGGUGUAGCGGUGAAAUGCGUAGAGAUUAGAGGGAACACCGGUGGCGAAAGCGGCUUUUUGGCCUGCAACUAACACUGAGGAGCGAAAGCGUGGGGAGCAAACAGG
rnacentral:rRNA from 1 species